rnacentral:lncRNA from 1 species
CUUGUGCACAACGAUAUCGGUAUCCAACCCUGGCAUAUCCUGAUAAGACCAGGCAAAGAUAUCAAUAUAUUCUUUCAACAAUGCUACCAUUCUGCUCUUGGCGUUUGCCUCCAAAGCAGCCCCAACUUUCACUUCUUUUCUGACCUCCUCGGUACCCAGAUUCACAACCUCAACUUGCUCCUCAUGCGGCUGAAUCACCUUCUCCUCUUGUUUCAACAACCUGGCUAAUUCAUCCGGCAGUUCACAAUC